rnacentral:rRNA from 1 species
GAUGAACGCUAGCUACAGGCUUAACACAUGCAAGUCGAGGGGGAAACGACAUCGAAAGCUUGCUUUUGGUGGGCGUCGACCGGCGCACGGGUGAGUAACGCGUAUCCAACCUGCCCACCACUUGGGGAUAACCUUGCGAAAGUAAGACUAAUACCCAAUGAUAUCCCACGAAGGCAUCGGAAUGGGAUUAAAGAUUUAUCGGUGAUGGAUGGGGAUGCGUCUGAUUAGCUUGUUGGCGGGGUAACGGCCCACCAAGGCUACGAUCAGUAGGGGUUCUGAGAGGAAGGUCCCCCACAUUGGAACUGAGACACGGUCCAAACUCCUACGGGAGGCAGCAGUGAGGAAUAUUGGUCAAUGGGCGAGAGCCUGAACCAGCCAAGUAGCGUGCAGGAUGACGGCCCUAUGGGUUGUAAACUGCUUUUAUAAGGGAAUAAAGUGGGUCACGUGUGACUUUUUGCAUGUACCUUAUGAAUAAGGACCGGCUAAUUCCGUG